CACGUAGGGUGCGAGCGUUGUCCGGAAUUAUUGGGCGUAAAGAGCUCGUAGGCGGUGUGUCGCGUCGGCCGUGAAAACCUGCAGCUUAACUGUGGGCUUGCGGUCGAUACGGGCAUCACUGGAGUUCGGCAGGGGAGACUGGAAUUCCUGGUGUAGCGGUGAAAUGCGCAGAUAUCAGGAGGAACACCGGUGGCGAAGGCGGGUCUCUGGGCCGAUACUGACGCUGAGGAGGGAAAGCGUGGGGAGCGAACAGG
rnacentral:rRNA from 1 species